CCCCUCUCAGGAUUGCACCUGGAGAGUUUCCAGUACUCGACCAGUCUUGGCUACAGGAGGGAGAGUCAAGCAGAGGCCUACUCAUUCCAUUCUUAGCUUAGGCAUUGACUAGUGAGUGGAAGGCAAUCUGCUGCAAGU